rnacentral:misc_RNA from 1 species
AAGUCGUAACAAGGUUUCCGUAGGUGAACCUGCGGAAGGAUCAUUACCCAUUUUGGCCGUAACAAGCCUUAACCCCUUAUUUAUGCGUACCUCCACAUUCUCCUUCGGCGGGGUAACGCCCGCCGUCGGAACAACCAAACCCUUUUUGCAUCUAGCAUGUUACCGGUUCUGACAAAAAACAAUCGUUACAACUUUCAACAAUGGAUCUCUUGGCUCUG